GACGAACGCUGGCGGCGUGCUUAACACAUGCAAGUCGAGCGGUAAGGCCCUUUCGGGGGUACACGAGCGGCGAACGGGUGAGUAACACGUGGGUGACCUGCCCUCAGCUCUGGGAUAAGCCUGGGAAACCGGGUCUAAUACUGGAUAUGACUCCAUGACGCAUGUUGUGGGGUGGAAAGCCUUGUGCGGCUGAGGAUGGGCCCGCGGCCUAUCAGCUUGUUGGUGGGGUGANGGCCUACCAAGGCGACGACGGGUAGCCGGCCUGAGAGGGCGACCGGCCACACUGGGACUGAGACACGGCCCAGACUCCUACGGGAGGCAGCAGUGGGGAAUCUUGCGCAAUGGGCGAAAGCCUGACGCAGCGACGCCGCGUGAGGGAUGACGGCCUGUGUAACUACUU
rnacentral:rRNA from 1 species